AACGAACGCUGGUGGCAUGCCUAACACAUGCAAGUCGUACGUGAAAGUCCUUCGGGAUGAGUAGAGUGGCGCACGGGUUAGUAAUACAUAGGAACGUACCUAUAGGUGGGGAAUAACCGAGGGAAACUUCGGCUAAUACCGCAUGAUCUGGUAACAGUAAAGAUGGGCUCUAUACUAUGCUAUCGCCGAUAGAGCGGCCUAUGUCCCAUUAGCUAGUUGGUAGGGUAAUGGCCUACCAAGGCUACGAUGGGUAGCUGGUCUGAGAGGACGACCAGCCACACUGGAACUGAGACACGGUCCAGACUCCUACGGGAGGCAGCAGUGGGGAAUUUUGGACAAUGGGCGCAAGCCUGAUCCAGCAAUGCCGCGUGCAGGAUGAAGGCCUUCGGGUUGUAAACUGCUUUUGUACGGAACGAAACGGCCCUUUCUAAUACAGGGGGCUAAUGACGGUACCGUAAGAAUAAGCACCGGCUAACUACGUGCCAGCAGCCGCAGUAA
rnacentral:rRNA from 1 species